GGGGUCGACUGGUUUUGACAGCAAGAUCAAUUGAACCGUAAGCACGUCGAGAAGCGCGACAGAUUCUCGUUAAUCCAUAGUCGCAACACUUUUAAACGGCGAAAAUAACUACGCUUUAGCUGCAUAAUCCGAAUUAUAGUAAGAUAAUGCCACGUCUGUACAAGGUACAGAAGCUGGAUUCUUCGCGGAAGCCUUGGUUUGUGGCGGCCGAUCACGAGGAACCGUAAAAAUAAACCUAGGAUUGGCCUUGCCUUGCGGCCUUUCUGACAUCUUAAGAGGCUAAGCGUUUUGUGGCUGCUCCCGGCCAGGCAGGACGUCGAAAAAACAAUCGGGAGAUAAACGUGUAGAAAGCGCUUUGGUUGCUUGUUUGGACCCGGGUUCGAUUCCCGGCGACUCCACAA
rnacentral:tmRNA from 1 species